rnacentral:rRNA from 1 species
UACGUAGGGGGCAAGCGUUAUCCGGAUUUACUGGGUGUAAAGGGAGCGUAGACGGCGAAGCAAGUCUGGUGUGAAAACCCGGGGCUCAACCCCGGGCCUGCAUUGGUAACUGCUUUGCUCGAGUGCCGGAGAGGUAAGCGGAAUUCCUAGUGUAGCGGUGAAAUGCGUAGAUAUUAGGAGGAACACCAGUGGCGAAGGCGGCUUACUGGACGGUAACUGACGUUGAGGCUCGAAAGCGUGGGGAGCAAACAGG